CCUGUGGAGUAACUCAGAUGUGGAGGGAGAGUAUAGAAUGGAGGAAUGAGUUGCUGUGUUCGGCGUAGCUGGUGCUGUUUGGAUUGUUUAUAGUUUGAGAAGUCCACAAUAGAAGAAAGAAGAUAGAAGAAAGAAGAAAAGCCUUGGAUUGAGGAAAUGCGAAUGAUUUUUCUCAGUCCUAGCAAAUGAGGAAGCCAUCGUCUCUUCAUAAAUAAGAUUCAGAGCUCUAAAUGAGGUCAUUCUCUGUGCAAUCUUCCUUUACACAACAAUCAAACCAAGCCAAGGUUCCAGAAAAGCAGGGGAAGACUUCUGGAUGGAGAUAUUACUCUGGAUGGAUCCAUAAAGAGCUCAGAUUGAGGACUCGUGAACAAGGCUUCAUGUUGCUUCAGCAAUAGACAACCCCUAAAGUGCAAAUGGAGCUGCAUCCUCUUAAAAAACAAGAAAAUAAAUCAAGACUUCAGUCUGACUCCUGCAGCAGAAUACUUAUGUAUCAGCAUCAGUUACUCAGAAUGCAGUGUAUGCCAAGAGAUCAUAACCUGAGCAAAAUGCAUUAUAAUGUAAAGUUCAGACUGGGUCCAGGGAUGUGGUGGGUAUGCCUAUUACUAACUUUUCAGUGGUGGUUUUGCCUGCUGGCACGCAUAAUGAUCUAUAAAUAUUAUUGUUUCCUCCAGAAUCUCAGUGGCUAGUCCUUUGUUGAAAUGAUCCUCUGUGCCCACUAACCUAUGAACAUGAUGAACCCAGUUGAACAAAGCUAAUUAAUUUGCAAGCUAAUGGUGAAGCGAGAUCUAUAUUUUAUUGGGGAAACAGUGUGAGGGAAUUAUUGGCAGCUGAGGUUAAAGCAAUUCUAAUCCUAAAUGCCAUAUCUUCUCUGCUUCAGAUCUGACAACAUUUCCCCUAAUUUUAUUUUCUGCUAUAUUAUAGGAAACAACACUGAAAAUACAUAAAAUAUGAUUAAGGCUUCCACGGUACUCUUCUGUGCAUGCUGCACAACAUUCCUCUUCAUCCUACCUGCUCCCCCCCCCCCCCGAAAUGUAUUGUGAUGAAUUGUGUUCAUUGGGUUGAAUUUAUGUUUUUAUGUCACUGCAGUAGGUGAUAGAUUUGAUAGGGAUGGAAACAAUAUCCUCUACUCAUUUUCUGAGCAAGAAAUGGUUUUGCCAAUGGUUCAUAAUCAUAAGGCAUAACAGUAUAAUGAGACUUCUGUUUGGUUUGUCUAUAUACAAAUGUUCCAAAAUGUUUUGGAGGAUUUUUCCUCCAAAUUAUUUUGGGACAUUUGUAUAAGAUGUCCUAAACAAAAUGAAAGAAGAAAUGUCUUUAAAUUAUCUGGACACAUAUGUGUGUGCAUGUGCGCGCGGUUAAAAUCCUUUGGGAAGCUUUUUGGACACUUGAAUAUGGUAAGAAAAGUGUUUUCUCCUGCACCAGGAAAAAAGCUAUAUAAAUUAUUUCCCCUGGCCUGUGAAAAUUGCAGGCAUUGAUGGUGACUGAGAUGAUCAAAGGUCUCCAAACCAAGCCUUAUGAGGAACGACUUAGAAAGCUGAGAUAAAAAAUUAUAAUAAGAACGUGAGACUAACUGGGCUUUAUUUUGAAACAUGCUUAUAUGGGUAUAAACCCUCUUCAUCAGAUGUAGUACAGAGUAGUAUCCGCUAUCCAGCCCUCAGGAUAUAAAGCAUCUUCACACAUAUUACAAAAUAUAGCUUAUAUCCUGGGACUAAUGUUCUUCUCUAAGGAAGCAGUGAAUGAUUGUAGCAAUUGUCUUUCUUCUGUGAUAAAGUAAUCAAAAACUGCAAUUUUAGAACACUUUUUUCA